ensembl:lncRNA
AUUGAAAUUGAAAUGCCUGUGUCUUCCAGUGUGGGUUGGAAAGUUAGUAUUAGCGUAAGUUCGUGGGGAGGGGGAGGGAUAAUGUCACAUGUCAAGCACCUGGGUAUUGUGAUUUGGUCCUGCGCCUUAGGGUUAGGGUUAGGGUUAGGAGCAGGUUGAGGUUUAGGGUUCCAAUUCAUGUACCUGACGUUUGGAGUGUGGGUAUGAUUGUUAGGGUUAGGGUGCUUCUUUUCGUAAGGGUCAUGGAUAGUGCAGAAAUAGCGGUACUUGAGGAUGACUUAUUGUUCUGGUAGGGUUAGGGCUAGGGUUAGGGUUAGGGUCAGGGUGAUAGAUAGCAUUGAAAUUGAAAUGCCUGUGUCUUCCAGUGUGGGUUGGAAACUUAGUAUUAGCAUGAUUUCAUGGGGACGGGGAGGGAUAAUGUCACAUGUCAAGCACCUGGGGAGUUUGAUUUGGUCCUGAGGCUUAGGGUUAGGGUUAGGGUUAGGAGUAGGUUUAGGUUUAGGGUUCCAAUUCAUGUACCUGACGUUUGGAGUGUGGGUAUGAUUGUUAGGGUUAGGGUUGUUCUUUUCGUAAGGGUCAUGGAUAGUGCAGAAAUAGCGGUACUUGAGGAUGACUUAUUGUUCACGUAAGGUUAGGGCUAGGGUUAGGGUUAGGGUCAGGGUGAUAGAUAGCAUUGAAAUUGAAAUGCCUGUGUCUUCCCAUGUC